GCCACGGUGGCGAAACUGGUAACGCGACAGGAUAGACCCCUGGAGUUCCCGGUUCAAAUCCGGGCUGUGGCA